rnacentral:misc_RNA from 1 species
GAUGAAGAACGUAGCGAAAUGCGAUACGUAAUGUGAAUUGCAGAAUUCAGUGAAUCAUCGAAUCUUUGAACGCAUAUUGCGCUCUCUGGUAUUCCGGAGAGCAUGCUUGUUUGAGUAUCAGUAAACACCUCAACUUCCAUAUCUUUUUUGAAAUGGGAGUUGGACUUGAGUGAUCCCAACGCUUUUCCUCACCGAAAAGUGGCGGGUUACUUGAAAUGCAGGUGCAGCUGGACUUUUCUCUGAGCUAUAAGCAUAUCUAUUUAGUCUGCCUAAAAAACAGAUUAUUACCUUUGCUGCAGCUAACAUAAAGGAGAUUAGUUCUUGUGCUGACUGAUGCAGGAUUCACAAAGACAGGCUUCGGCCGACUUUGUAAACUCGAUCUCAAAUCAAGUAAGACUACCCGCUGAACUUAAGCAUAUCGAUAAGCGGAGGA